GAUGAACGCUGGCGGCGUGCUUAACACAUGCAAGUCGAACGGUGAACACGGAGCUUGCUCUGUGGGAUCAGUGGCGAACGGGUGAGUAACACGUGAGCAACCUGCCCCUGACUCUGGGAUAAGCGCUGGAAACGGCGUCUAAUACUGGAUAUGUGACGUGACCGCAUGGUCUGCGUUUGGAAAGAUUUUUCGGUUGGGGAUGGGCUCGCGGCCUAUCAGCUUGUUGGCGAGGUAAUGGCUCACCAAGGCGUCGACGGGUAGCCGGCCUGAGAGGGUGACCGGCCACACUGGGACUGAGACACGGCCCAGACUCCUACGGGAGGCAGAAGUGGGGAAUAUUGCACAAUGGGCGCAAGCCUGAUGCAGCAGCGCCGCGUGAGGGAUGACGGCCUUCGGGUUGUAAACCUCUUUUAGCAGGGAAGAAGCGAAAGUGACGUUACCUGCAGAAAAAGCGCCGGCUAACUACGUG
rnacentral:rRNA from 1 species